GAAGUGAGUUGGUGCCAUCUACUCCCUUUUUCUUUUCUUCUAUUCCAAACACACCACCCGCUAAUCUCUUCCACAAUUGUCGAUUCAAACCAACAUUGUUGUUGUUGUUUGAGCUGAGAUUUUGUGAGCUCCAAUCCAAUGGCUUCUUCGUCUCUCACAUCCAAACCCUUUCUGGGUUCUGCUUCAAGAACCGAACGCCUUUCUGGGUUGUGCUCUGAUCUCCGAAACCUCUCCUCCCCCUCCAAGAAGCUCCGAGGCCAGGUCAGAGCUGAAUUACUACCCCUAGGAAGGAAACUGACACAUGCAAAAUACUUUCAAGAGUCCAAAGGAGGUUAGAUCUUUGUGGUUUAACCUUUCUUCUUCCAAAUGAUCAUAUAUAGUUCUUGAGGUGUAAUAUCUAUUGUUUUGACCAUAUUCAUUGUUAACAUGUUAGAUCAGUAAGCAGUCCCCCUCGUUCUCUCUGAUCACAUUCAGUCUUUCCACACCUCAGUGUUCAUGUACAUUUAUUAGUAGACCUGCUUGUAUUUGGAUGUAUAAGCUAAGCAAUGCUGUGAUGGUUGGUGUGUGAUUCUUUAUA